rnacentral:rRNA from 1 species
UUAGGGACACAAAUCCCUAAUAUUAACAAAGAAACAAACUUGUAUUCGCUCUAAGAAUUUUUAAUCUCGUGUAGUAGUAGUUAAGGUAAACUUGAACUAGCUUUAUUGUAUACACGUAGUCGAAACUGAAAGGUUGAUCGAUCACAAUGUGGCCUGAACAAAGCCCAUGACAAAAGUAGCAGCAGUGAGGAAUAUUGGUCAAUAGCCUAACGGCUGAACCAGCAACUUGGAAGAAUGAAAAGCAAUAGCUGAUUGCAUUUAAUUUAAUGUAAUUACUACUUGGUAGUUUAAAUUUCUAGGUAGAAUUAUGAUGGUGACAUUAUCUAUCUAUUAGUCUUGACCAAAUUACGUGCCAGCAGUCGCGGUAAUACGUAGAAGACAAGUGUUAUUCAUCUUUAUUGGGUUUAAAGAGUACCAAGACGGUUAAUAAAGCCCAAAAUAAAUGAAUACGGGGGACACAUUAACUAGAGUUAUAUGAAAGGAAGCUCUAAGGUACUGUUGAGUGUAGAGAUGAAAUUUUUUGAUACCAGAUGAUUGGCACAGAUUGAUGCGAAGGCAUCUUCUUAUGUAAUAACUGACGUUGUAGGACGAAGGCUUAGUAUGUGAACAGGAUUAGGUACCCCAGUAAUCUAGGCAGAAAAUGAUGAAUGUCAUAGGUUGAAUACAGACAGGUUAAAUUGACUAUCUAAUAGUAACUAGGUGGUAUAUUAAUCAGUCUAUUAUUGUGUCUAUAAAUGAAAGUGUAAGCAUUCCACCUCAAGAGUAAUUUGGCAACAUUGGAACUGAAAUCAUUAGACCGUUUCUGAAACCAGUAGUGAAGUAUGUUGUUUAAUUAGAUGAUACACAAAAACCUUACCACAAUUUGAAUAUAUAUAUAAAAUAUAUUUACAAGCGCUGCACGGCUGUYUACAGUUAAUGUCGUGAGACUUUGGUUAGCUCCAGUAAAUUGACGUAAACCCUAAUUUUAUUUAUAAAUAAAAUUAWCAUUGAUAUAAUUGAUGUUUAAUAGGGAACA